AGAGUUUGAUCCUGGCUCAGGAUCAACGCUGGCGGUGUGCCUUAUGCAUGCAAGUCGAACGGUCCUUCUCUUCGGAGAAGGAUAGUGGCGAACGGGUGAGUAACACGUAAGUAACCUGCCCUUAAGUAGGGGAUAACUCUGAGAAAUUGGAGCUAAUACCGUAUGUGGUGGUGAAGGUAAUGCUUUAUCACUAAAGCCUUAGGGCGCUUAGGGAGGGGCUUGUGGCCGAUUAGCUAGUUGGUAGGGUAACGGCUUACCUAGGCGAAGAUCGGUAGCUGGUCUGAGAGGAUGGUCAGCCACACUGGGACUGAGAUACGGCCCAGACUCCUACGGGAGGCAGCAGCAAGGAAUUUUGUGCAAUGGGCGAAAGCCUGACACAGCGACACCGCGUGGGGGAUGAAGGCCCUUGGGUUGUAAACCCCUUUUCCCAGGGAAGAAUAAUGACGGUACCUGGGGAAUAAGUCUCGGCUAACUACGUGCCAGCAGCCGCGGUAAUACGUAGGAGGCUAGCGUUAUCCGGAUUUACUGGGCGUAAAGCGGGUGUAGGCGGUUCUUCAAGUCGGAUGUAAAAUCUCCUAGCUUAACUAGGAGGGAUCAUUCGAUACUGUUGAGCUAGAGGGCAGCAGAGGGAGGUGGAAUUCCCGGUGUAGUGGUGAAAUGCGUAGAUAUCGGGAGGAACACCAGUGGCGAAGGCGGCCUCCUGGGCUGUGCCUGACGCUGAGGCCCAAAGGCGUGGGGAGCGAACAGGAUCAGAUACCCUGGUAGUCCACGCAGUAAACGAUGGACACUAGGUAUAGGGAGUAUCGACCCUCUCUGUGCCGAAGCUAACGCUUUAAGUGUCCCGCCUGGGGAGUACGGCCGCAAGGCUAAAACUCAAAGGAAUUGACGGGGGCCCGCACAGCAGCGGAGCGUGUGGUUUAAUUCGAUGCAACGCGAAGAACCUUACCAGACUUGACAUGUCGAAGUAGCGACCCGAAAGGUGGAGCCACCUGUGAGUCAGAACGUCACAGGUGCUGCAUGCUGUCGUCAGCUCGUGCGUGAGGGUGUAGUAAGUCUGUACGAGCGCCAAACCCUCGUUGCAGGUUAUUUCCUCUGCAGAACUGCCCUGCAAAACAUGGAGAGGUGGGAUGACGUCUCAAUCACAGGCUUAUGUCUGGCUAACACACGCUUACAGAUUGGGGUA
rnacentral:rRNA from 1 species